rnacentral:rRNA from 1 species
UACAGAGGUCUCAAGCGUUGUUCGGAUUCAUUGGGCGUAAAGGGUGCGUAGGCGGCGCGGUAAGUCGGGUGUGAAAUCUCGGAGCUUAACUCCGAAACUGCAUUCGAUACUGCCGUGCUUGAGGACUGGAGAGGAGACUGGAAUUUACGGUGUAGCGGUGAAAUGCGUAGAUAUCGUAAGGAAGACCAGUGGCGAAGGCGGGUCUCUGGGCCGAUACUGACGCUGAGGAGCGAAAGCGUGGGAGCAAACAGG